GACGUAGGUGGCAAGCGUUGUCCGGAUUUACUGGGCGUAAAGGGCGUGCAGGCGGUCUGUUAAGUGCAGGGUGAAAGCUCCCGGCUCAACUGGGAGAGGUCCUUGCAUACUGGCGGACUUGAGGGGGGUAGAGGAAAGUGGAAUUCCCGGUGUAGUGGUGAUAUGCGUAGAUAUCGGGAGGAACACCUGUGGCGAAGGCGGCUUUCUGGGCCCUACCUGACGCUGAGACGCGAAAGCGUGGGGAGCGAACCGG
rnacentral:rRNA from 1 species